UACGUAGGCAGCAAACGUUGUUCGGAAUUAUUGGGCGUAAAGAGUGUGUAGGCGGUUGCGUGUGUCUGGUGUGAAAUCUCCUGGCUCAACUGGGAGGGUGCGCCGGAAACUGCGCGGCUAGAGUACUGGAGAGGAUGGCGGAAUUCCUGGUGUAGCGGUGAAAUGCGUAGAUAUCAGGAGGAACACCUGUGGUGUAGACGGCUAUCUGGACAGUCACUGACGCUGAGACACGAAAGCGUGGGGAGCAAACAGG
rnacentral:rRNA from 1 species